CCUACGGGUGGCAGCAGUGAGGAAUAUUGGUCAAUGGGCGAGAGCCUGAACCAGCCAAGUCGCGUGAAGGAUGAAGGAUCUAUGGUUUGUAAACUUCUUUUAUAUGGGAAUAAAGUGAGGAACUUGUUCCUUUUUGUAUGUACCAUAUGAAUAAGCAUCGGCUAACUCCGUGCCAGCCGCCGCGGUAAUACGGAGGAUGCGAGCGUUAUCCGGAUUUAUUGGGUUUAAAGUGUGCGUAGGUGGUUAAUUAAGUCAGCGGUGAAAUUUAGGGGCUCAACCAUAAAAUUGCCGUUGAGACUGGUUAGCUUGAGUAUAUUUGAGGGAGGCAGAAUGCGAGGUGUAGCGGUGAAAUGCGUAGAGA
rnacentral:rRNA from 1 species